rnacentral:rRNA from 1 species
GAAGAACGCUGGCGGCGUGCCUAAUACAUGCAAGUCGAACGCAGUGGGGACGGGUGAUUAACACGUGGGUAACCUCCCAUCAGAGGGGAUAACGCUUGGAAACAGGUGCUAAACCCAUAUUGAUUGAUGUACACGCGGUGCAUUAGCUAGUUGGUGAGGUAACGGCUCACCAAGGCCACGAUGAAUAGCCGACCUGAGAGGGGGAUCGGCCACACUGGGACUGAGACACGGCCCAGACUCCUACGGGAGGCAGCAGUGGGGAAUCUUCGGCAAUGGACGAAAGCCUGACCGAGCAACGCCGCGUGAGUGAAGAAGGUUUUCGGAUCGUAAAACUCUGUUGUUAGAGAAGCGGUAUCUAACCAGAAAGCAACGGCUAACUACGUGCCAGCAGCCGCGGUAAUAC